GGAAAAAUGUACCUCUUACUUGUAAGUAUUAUAAAUACAAAACUUUGUGAAAAUUAUAUUGAUUAUUCUUAAAAUUCAGCAUGAAAAAAGCUUGAUAUUCCCAUCCUCUUCUAAGUAAUAUGGUCGUUCCCUAAACUAAUUGUAUUAUAAUUUUUGUCCUUGCUGUAAUGGUACUUUUUCAAACAUAUGUUCUAACGUGAUAUAAAUGAAUGUGUUUAUUUUGAAUAGUUUAAGAAUCAUGUUUUGUACGUAUACGGACCAGCGAACAGUAUUUUAAGUUUUAUUUAUCUAAUUUAUUUAGCCUUCUUGUUUGAUGUUUUGGUUGAUUGAGAUCUCUUUCUGGACGUGUUUGGAAUAUUUGCAAAUGAAAAGACAAAUUAAGUGAUUGUAGUUCAAAGCUAUGGCAUCUAAUGUUACGUCAAGGAUUUUGAACUACUAUCAUACACCAUUAGUGAUUUGCAAAUUGAAAGUGUCUAGCGUUACAAAUCUAACAGUUAGUUUUCACAAGUGCAUCAAUAUAUAAGUUUUAGGAAUACAUACAUUGUUUUUUACAGGUCUAUACCUUUGAUUGCCGGAGCUGUUAUAGGAAGCUUAAUUGGUUUUGUAAUAGUGCUAGCGAUUAUUGUUUGUAUAUGUACAACAUGUAAUAAACGAGAAGUAUUUGUUCAACCUAUCCAUACAGUACAUUCAAUACAUAGAGUGUAUAAUGUACCCGCAAGGAGUCGUAAGUAUAAACUUAUCCAUAAAGUACAUACAUUAUAUAGUAACUUAUCCAUAAAGUACAUACAUUAAAUAUUAACUUAUCCAUACAGUACAUACAUUAUAUAUGCAGCUUCCAUAACGCAUAAUAUUAUAAUAUACAGUGAGACCUGGAUAAACCGAACCUUGAUAAAACCGAACAAUUUUCUGUCCCAUGAAAUUUCCCUAUUAAUCAACGUUUAUCUAACCCUGUCAAUACCGAAUUCCAAUCCCAAAGUGAGUCGUGGGUAUCCUUUCAGUUCAUACGAUGCAUAAAAUUUAUACUAAUAAUAUACCGGAAGUGAAUGUCUUUAAAGUUCAUUCAAUAAAUAAGGUGAAUAAUUUACCAAUAGUGAGUCGUGAGUAUCCUUCAACUUUGUAUUGGUUUGGCUUUAUAACUAUUUUGAUUUGAGCGUCACUGAUGAGUCUUAUGUAGACGAAACGCGCAUCUGGCGUAUGAAAUUAUAAUCCUGGCACCUUUGAUAACUAUUUACUGCUCAUACGGUGUUUACUUAACCAUAACCGAGUCUAGUAUCUCUUUAGAAAACAUACAAUACAUACAGUAUUCUAUAUCAGCAUUGACUCGUGAGUAUCUAUACACUACAUUUGAUUUAUAAUACGUACGGUGUAUAUUAUAAACAAGUAUUCAGUUGUGAGUAUUCGUACAGUACAUACUAAAUAAGUUGAAUUCUUGAUAAGUGAGAUAAGAAGAUUUGUUAACCCCUUUUUUAUUCAUUAAAAUACAAUUUUUAGGUGGAUAACAUUUUCCUUAACCAUCUCUACAAUGUUAGUAUAUCAGUAGUGAUAUAUCUAUUAAAUAACUUUUUUCAACUUUUUUGUAUUAUUUCUGAAUGUUUAAAGAUAAAACAAACUACAACGACCAUUUACCAUGAGAGACGUCAUCACAUUGCGAUGUGCGGGAUUGAAUGGGAUUUUCAGAGGAGUUUCUAUUUCAUGUUAAUAUUUAUAUAUAUCUAUAUAUAUAAAUGCUAUUGUAUUUCAAGCUGCUCAUCGUCAGAGUAUGUCGUUUUUUCCUAAUUAAUUUAAUACACUCAUAUAUAUAUUGAAGUUCAGGGUGGUGUUCUCGAAGCUAUCUAACGAGUAGGACGUGUCCUAAGACCAUCUUAUGACACUUCUUUUUUCUAAGUCGUGUUCUCGAAGCUCUAUUUCUAAUUUUUCGUCCUAACUUGAGGACAUCAAAUGAGGUUUUUAAGAUCAUAAUAUUCACAUUAGCAUAAUAAAGUUUGAAUUUCGUUUUUUGCUCUUUUUUACGCGAGAUGAACACGAAUCUAACAUGUUUUGAUAGCAACUUCCGUAUUCCUGGCCUUUUUUUUAUAGAUAUUUAAGAAAAUUGGAGGGGUGAACCCAAUUUUAUGGCUAGCAAACCCUCCCACUUAUAUGGCAAUGUUAAAAAAUUUCACUAAAAUGACGACACUACGUGACAAAAAUACAAUACAAAUAUAAAACUAUUAGUCGACGUAAUAUGCAAACAACAACAACAAACGUAUUCCAUCAACGAAAGAGAGCACAGAACAUCACAAACAGUGACGCAGUCGUGUAAUGAAUAUGUUAACCUGAACGUCGUAAAAUAAUUUCCACAAUUCCAGUUCAAACCAUUAUUAUGACAAUGAAGGUAUUCAAAGGCUAUUUAAAAAUAUUUGAACUACACUAAUAGUUAUCAAAGGUACCAGGCUUACAAGUUGAUAUACCAGACGCGCGUAUCGUCUACAUAAGACUCAUCAGUGACUUUCAAAUCAAAAUAGUUAGAAAGUACAAAGUUGAAGAGCUUUGAGAACACACAAACUCCAAAAAGUUGUGCCAAAUUCGGCUAAGGUAAUCUUUACCUGGGAUAAGAAAAUACCAAGUAUUUCGAAUAAGUCACAUUUUUGUCAAAAUGAUACGACAUAACACAUUAUCCAACCGAAACCACCAACAGAAACAAAAACACAUACAUGAAUAUUGGAUGUAUAAAAUACCGAGACAUGUACGAGUCAUUAAACAAUGCAAAUUUACACUCGAUAAAAUAGUCAUAUUUGAGAUUAUGUCACGUUCGGUACUUAGCAGACAGACAACUUAGAUAUUAAACCACAAUCUAAGAAGUGGUAAAAAUGUCCUCAGUUAGUUUAAACGUGGUAAAAAUAUCAUCAGUUAGUUUAGACGUGGUAAAAAUGUCUGGUUAAGACGUGGUAAAAAUGUCCUCAGUUAGUUUAGACGUGAUAAAAAUGCCCUCAGUUAGUUUGUACGUGAUGAAAAUGCCCUCAGUUAGUUUAGAUAUUAUAGAAAUGCCCUCAGUUCGUUUAGACGUGAUAAAAAUAUCUUCAGUUAGUUUAGACGUGAUAAAAAUGCCCUCAGUUAGUUUAGACGUGGUAAAAAUGUUCUUAGUUAGUUUAGAUGUGCUAAAAAUGCCCUCAGUUAGUUUCCCAAACAAAAAAAAAAAUUGAGGAACAAAUCAUGGUAACAAAUGAUAAACAAAUCGUAUGAUUUCUUUAUGAUUUGAAAGUGAUAAAAUUUCACAUGCAAAUCAUAAACAAAUUGUCAAGAAAUUGAUUUGAAAUCAUUAACAAAUCAGAGGUAAUUGCUUUCCUUCUUCAAGCAAAUCACAAACAAAUUGUUUUCAAAUCGUAAAGAAAUUGUAAAAAAAUUGUUAUCAAAUCUUUAACAAAUUAGAAGUAAAUCAUAAACAAAUUGUUUUCAAAUUAUUAAGAAAUUAUAAACAAAUUGUUAUCAAAUCUUUAACAAAUCAAAAGUAAAUCAUAUAUUCCUACCUUAAGCAAAUCAUAAGCUACAUCAGAAAAUGCUUAAACCAAGUCAGGAAUAUGACAGUUGUUAUCCAUUCGUUUGAGCUUUUGAUUUUGCAAUUCGGUUAGGGAUCGACUUUCAUCUUAUAUACAAAUGAACGUGUUUUUACUAAAAUUAUAGGACUGAGCUUUGAUACAUUUGUAAACUUUUAAAUUAGACUUUUCAUAAAACAGUCGAUUGUGGUAAGACGUGCAAAUAUAAGUUGAUCUUUUUUGUUGCGUAAGCAUAUUACUAUGCGCAGAAAAAAAAACCACAGAAAGAUAACAGAUCUAUCUUUAUAAAGCAUUAAUUUUCAUUUCUUCAAACGGUUUUCAAGAGCUAAAUUUGCAACGUAUCAUGGGAAUAUGAUUUUGACGAAGUAGAAACCUGACUGUAAUGGUGUAACUUUAAAAUAAAAACAGGUUUAUUAGACUUAGUGAUAGUUGUAAAAAGUUGUUGCUAUGCAUUUUUAUAAAUCUCCAUCUAUUCACACAAAAACAAAUUUACUUACUAAUUCUAUUUUAUAUUUACAUGGAUAUUGAUAAUUUUCAAUCGAGACCUCUUAUAUCUAACUGUGAUAUAGGCUCAAGUACAGAAUCUAAUUUUAUAGCCCAUAAUUUACCAAGCCAAAGCUUUGAACUACGAAUUUAAACGUAAUAAAUGUAUUUAAAUGCAUCUUCAUACAUCGAUUUUGAAUAUUUACACUAAAGGUAAAUAUUCGCAUAAAAACAGAAAUAGUUUUGUAAACAAAUUCUUGAGGAAGUCAAAAUAUGAAUUUUCUUUUUAAAUUAAUGUACAGUUUGCUGUGGAUUUUAGUAAGAAAAGGUAAGUUUGUACCUAUUGUUUUACUAUGAUAAUUCUAAUGAAUCUAUUCUUUAGAAGUAUUGGAUGUAAAUGCGUAAAAACUAGACGAGUGAUUGUAUGAUUGUUGUUAACAUUCUUAACAUCCAGUGGCAACUAUUUCAUCCUUGUUCAGAGAUAGAAUAAAUUAACAAAAUUAAAUACAGUCACUGGGUUAAAAUUAUCAAUCAUUUAAGUAAUAAUUAAGAAUUGUGUUAUGACUUCAAUCACAGUGAUAUUGUUGCCUUAAUUUCUGGAGAAUAAGGCCACGGGUUUUAAUUAAAUUAUCAUCAUUACCAUAAUAGUUAUAGAGAUGUUAUGACUGCCAAAACAGUGAUAUUGUUUGUCUUAAUUCUGGAGAAUAAAGGUCUUUUCCCCUGGAGAAGAUCCCAAUUUGAAAAAAAAAUUGGCUUAAAAUUAUUCCCAAAGAACUUUUUUCCCAAACAGUCAGUUCAGUAGUAUUGUGAUGAUUACAAACCGAAAAACACUCAUUAAACAUUUCAUGCCUUAAUGACUAUAUGUGCAGAUUUGAGGGUCAUUUAUGAAUAUCACUGCAAAUAAGGGGUUAUAUAUCAAUGAGGUUUAUCUUUGAAAGGGGGUCUGCAAUAAAGUUCAAGUCAAAUUCAUGGUAUAUUUUCAUUUCCCAAUUUGAUAAAAAUGACGCAUAUUUUCCAAUAAAAAAGGUAGAGGUAGUUUAGAAAAAGCCAACAAUAACACUGAAAGACCAUGUAGAUUACCAUCAUUGAAAUAAAAAACGUCACUACAGACACGGCAUAACGAAAUCAUUCCUUGUCGUAAUUGUUUUCGAAGAGUUUCUGUUGCCUCAUUAUUCUCUUUAUGUUUGGCCGAGAACAUAGUUAUUUCUAUUGCAUUUCUUAGACAAUAAUUCAUAAUUAAAAAUCGCACCCGCUCUUUCUAAAAAGAUUUUUUACAGUGAGUGUACUACCAGUGAGACAUAAUUCAAAAUUUAUAGAAACUUCUAACCAGCUCUAACUCAAAUUUUGCAAAUUCUGUGUUAAUGGGGUUAAUAAUUCAGUUUUGACAGCUCAGACGAGAUAAAAUUGACCUUUUUGAACUGGACCAAAUCACUACUUAACAUAAAGAUUCAGCACCCAAAUUUUUUUGACAAGUAAUUACAUCCCCCUACUUGAUAUUUCAUGCACUUGAUAUCAAGAAAUAAAUUGGGAAAAUAUAUCAAAUAAAACAUGCAAGUUAUACACUGUUUACACUAGGGACUAUAUUCGUAGACAAAACACGAAAACCAAAGGACGAUAACUGUGUCCUUGGACCUUUUACCACCUCAUUAUUGUUCUCUAUUCAUUAUGUGUUUGUCAUUCUUUCUCUGUUCUUUCUAUUUCUUUUGUCCAUUUGUCUCUUGUCUGUCAACACAAUAUAUAGUUCAUGAGAUUUCAUCAUUAUAUUUCAGUCAGUCCAGUGAAAGCUAAAACCUGUUAUUCUACAUAUACAUAUUACCAUGGCUCGUACUACCAGGAAAAAUGUACCUCUUACUUGUAAGUAUUAUAAAUACAAAACUUUGUGAAAAUUAUAUUGAUUAUUCUUAAAAUUCAGCAUGAAAAAAGCUUGAUAUUCCCAUCCUCUUCUAAGUAAUAUGGUCGUUCCCUAAACUAAUUGUAUUAUAAUUUUUGUCCUUGCUGUAAUGGUACUUUUUCAAACAUAUGUUCUAACGUGAUAUAAAUGAAUGUGUUUAUUUUGAAUAGUUUAAGAAUCAUGUUUUGUACGUAUACGGACCAGCGAACAGUAUUUUAAGUUUUAUUUAUCUAAUUUAUUUAGCCUUCUUGUUUGAUGUUUUGGUUGAUUGAGAUCUCUUUCUGGACGUGUUUGGAAUAUUUGCAAAUGAAAAGACAAAUUAAGUGAUUGUAGUUCAAAGCUAUGGCAUCUAAUGUUACGUCAAGGAUUUUGAACUACUAUCAUACACCAUUAGUGAUUUGCAAAUUGAAAGUGUCUAGCGUUACAAAUCUAACAGUUAGUUUUCACAAGUGCAUCAAUAUAUAAGUUUUAGGAAUACAUACAUUGUUUUUUACAGGUCUAUACCUUUGAUUGCCGGAGCUGUUAUAGGAAGCUUAAUUGGUUUUGUAAUAGUGCUAGCGAUUAUUGUUUGUAUAUGUACAACAUGUAAUAAACGAGAAGUAUUUGUUCAACCUAUCCAUACAGUACAUUCAAUACAUAGAGUGUAUAAUGUACCCGCAAGGAGUCGUAAGUAUAAACUUAUCCAUAAAGUACAUACAUUAUAUAGUAACUUAUCCAUAAAGUACAUACAUUAAAUAUUAACUUAUCCAUACAGUACAUACAUUAUAUAUGCAGCUUCCAUAACGCAUAAUAUUAUAAUAUACAGUGAGACCUGGAUAAACCGAACCUUGAUAAAACCGAACAAUUUUCUGUCCCAUGAAAUUUCCCUAUUAAUCAACGUUUAUCUAACCCUGUCAAUACCGAAUUCCAAUCCCAAAGUGAGUCGUGGGUAUCCUUUCAGUUCAUACGAUGCAUAAAAUUUAUACUAAUAAUAUACCGGAAGUGAAUGUCUUUAAAGUUCAUUCAAUAAAUAAGGUGAAUAAUUUACCAAUAGUGAGUCGUGAGUAUCCUUCAACUUUGUAUUGGUUUGGCUUUAUAACUAUUUUGAUUUGAGCGUCACUGAUGAGUCUUAUGUAGACGAAACGCGCAUCUGGCGUAUGAAAUUAUAAUCCUGGCACCUUUGAUAACUAUUUACUGCUCAUACGGUGUUUACUUAACCAUAACCGAGUCUAGUAUCUCUUUAGAAAACAUACAAUACAUACAGUAUUCUAUAUCAGCAUUGACUCGUGAGUAUCUAUACACUACAUUUGAUUUAUAAUACGUACGGUGUAUAUUAUAAACAAGUAUUCAGUUGUGAGUAUUCGUACAGUACAUACUAAAUAAGUUGAAUUCUUGAUAAGUGAGAUAAGAAGAUUUGUUAACCCCUUUUUUAUUCAUUAAAAUACAAUUUUUAGGUGGAUAACAUUUUCCUUAACCAUCUCUACAAUGUUAGUAUAUCAGUAGUGAUAUAUCUAUUAAAUAACUUUUUUCAACUUUUUUGUAUUAUUUCUGAAUGUUUAAAGAUAAAACAAACUACAACGACCAUUUACCAUGAGAGACGUCAUCACAUUGCGAUGUGCGGGAUUGAAUGGGAUUUUCAGAGGAGUUUCUAUUUCAUGUUAAUAUAUAUAUAUAUAUAUAUAUAUAUAUAUAUAAAUGCUAUUGUAUUUCAAGCUGCUCAUCGUCAGAGUAUGUCGUUUUUUCCUAAUUAAUUUAAUACACUCAUAUAUAUAUUGCUCUGAAGUUCUGGUGGUGUCUCGAAGGUGCCCCACCUACUUCGUUCGUCCGACUUCAGGUUAAAGUUUUUGGCAAGGUAGUUUUUGAUGAACGUUGAAGUCCUAAGACCAUCUUAUGACACUUCUUUUUUCUAAGUCGUGUUCUCGAAGCUCUAUUUCUAAUUUUUCGUCCUAACUUGAGGACAUCAAAUGAGGUGUUUUAAGAUCAUAUAUUCACAUUAGCAUAAUAAAGUUUGAAUUUCGUUUUUUGCUCUUUAUUUUACUCGAAGAUGAACACGACACGAAACGCACCAUCGGUUAUUAACUUGUACAUGUAGAGAUUGGGCAUUAACUUCGUGUUUCACGAUACGAUGACUCUACAAAUUUAAUUAUCAUUCUGUUUAAAACAAUUUGUUUUCCACUUUCUAUUACAAUUAUCUCUGAUAUAAUUACCGUGAUUUGAAUUCAGAGAUUUAAUUUAAUAAGUGUUAUUAUAAAAUUCGUUAACAAUUUAUUAAAUGGUUCGUCAUUAAUAAAUGGUUUAUCAAAUUUAAACAUUAACUUUAGCGAUUUAAAAUUUCGACUUGGUAUACGUUUAGGACGUCCUAACAUAAGAUGCGUCUGAUAUAACUAUGAGACACAACUUAAUAGUGUCCUAAGUUGAUUCUAACUCCAUCCUAAAAUCGGUCUUAGUUAUGACUAAGGACGAGUCCUAGGAUACUUUCGAGAACGCCACCCCAUAUUUCUAUCUAGAAAUAUUGGUUUUUUUUAAUUUAUUUUAUUUAUAACGAUUUUUUUUUAGUUUUGAUGCACAGAAUGUUUUCAUGAAUUGUAGGUUGAUAAGAACGUGUGAUAUCGUGC
rnacentral:lncRNA from 1 species